CGUUCGUGUCGAUAAAUCAUAAUCGUUGGACAGUUCCGUACCACGGAAUCUAAACCGAGCCGCGAUUAAUUACAAAAGUGAUAUUUAACGCUGUUGGUGUCCGCUGCGGGUAAAAUUGAAAAAUCUAACGGGUAGCAUUGAUGAAUUGAAAUGUCUAUGCUACUAUGAGAUUGUUUUAGUAUUUUUCAGACAAUUCAGAUUUAUCAUUUAACUUUCUAGCUGUGGAAUAAUAAUUUUCAAACUAGAAUGUUUAUAAUAAUCCAUUAAAACUUAAGAUGGCCGCUUACAAAGUUCCCUUUCUAAGGAGGAGUUUCGUUCACCGCGAAGAGGUGCUGACACGCCACGAUCUCUCCCGUUUCUCUAUGUUAGAAAAUAACAUUUAACCGUUCAACGGUGCAUAAACCUAAAUCGUCCGAGUUAUCUCGAAAAUCUCGUGCGGCAACGCUUCUUAUGUUUCUCCGUUGAACCGGAAGAGGAGGUUUGUCCGUUGUCUCGGCGUUCAUUUAUUCAGCAUCUCGAUGCCCCUUUUGUGUUUGCUCAGCCACGCCUGAGAAUCGGACGAUUCCUAGCAACAACUAGAUCUGCUUCUAAUCCGUUCGAUUCCAUAAGCACAUAGCACGCGAUAUUAUUAGCCAUAUCAUCCAUUGGCGUCUCCUCUUUCUUCCUUUUGUUUUAUUUACCCCUCAGAAUACUCGUAGAAUAGAAACUCAUAACUCACCUCUGUUACAUGUAGCCAACAAAAAUGUCUAAUUUUUACACUAAUGAAAAAUUCAUCAUUUUUUCAAUGACAAUUCAUAAUAAUUAACGUAUAGCAAUACUGUACAGAAUUUUUAGUAAUUUGUUGCAAUUUUUUUUUUUUUUAAUUACUUAAGUGUAUUAAAUUUGAAUUAUAGAUAAAUGGUGUUGAUUUUAUAUAAAUCAACAGGUUGAAAUAAUAUCUAUUGACAAAAUUUGCGACGCCAAUGAUGGAGUGACUCAACGUUCUCUCCCGAUUUCGAUCGUUAAUAGGAACCGCUUCACAAUAAGAAUAAUAAUAGUAAUAAGAAGAAUAACAAGGAGGGUAAUGGAAGAGUAACCGAGCGAACAGUGUAACGACGACACAACGGUGUCCCAUUGUGCGCCCUGUAUCCCGAUACCAGGCAUGAACUGGCCCGAACAAUCGGAAGAAACGCGAGGUGGAUGGCGGCUAUGGUGGUCACACUUUGCUGCCUCAGGAUGUACUGAGCACCCAGUCACCGUGUACCUUUUUUCCUUUUAGUUAGGUCGUCCAGGGUAUUACGGUCACCGAUCCGUUAAUGUUCAAUGGAAAUAUUUGUGAAUAAUAAGUAAUGCGGUAUUCCCAUUUUUAAACGGUAUUUAUGCAUGGAUUAUAGCCACCAUAAUGAUUUCUAUUCCUAUUAACUUGUAAGUGAUGUGUACUGAUAAUACUAGACGAUAGUCUCUAUUUACCUGGAUUCUACUUAAACAUAACUAAUGUGGAAUUUUGAUUUUUAAACGAUAACGUGGUAUCUAUUUUUAAACGGUAAUAUUUAUGGAGUAUCUAAUAAUAUUAGCAGUAUGUAUUUGUAAGUGAAGUGAUAUGCAUUAAUAACGUUUACUUUGCAUAAUAAACCUGGCAAACAGUUUUAUUGUUUUGAAUAAAAGAAGAAAAUUAUUGUAAACAGCAACAACCUUGGAAAUAUAAAAAGAUAUAUGCAACAGAGGAUGAAGAAUACGAACGGAAAGAAAAAGAAACCACUUUUCCGACCCAAUGCUCAGCUACAUGCGCGUUUCUUCUUUCAUUAAGAUGCAAUCACUGGCUACAGCGGAGCCGAGCAAUGUUCUUUUAACCACCAGCCGGGCAUUAGCACGAUGGAAAGAAAUCGUCUUCAUUACGACGGCGAAACACUGUAGCGACUGGUAGGCUUUUUUUUAUCAGACUCAACAAACGCGUAAUUUCCAUUGGUUAUGCUCUCUAAACGCCAUGUUUCAACGUUAUGAGAUACCAUCAUUUGAAUCCCUGCUGCAGCACCGAUUGAUAAUUGCCACCGGUGCGGUGAGAGAAAGUAUUUCGAGGAAUUAUCAGAAAUGAUCGCUUCUGUCUACCAAUUAAUCGAUAUUGCUAAUUAUGACCUCAAAUUUGCAUAUUUUUAUUUAUAAACAUGGAUACUUUAUUCGAUGGAUUCUCCCUGUCUCUUCUCCCCCAUUUUCUUUUUUUUAAUAAAAAUGAUCGAAAAGAUGAUCUAAAUCCUAUGUAUAUAUUCUUAAUUAACACGUUAAGGGUUAUGAAAUCACGGUAUUGUUUAUGAAACAACCCAUUGCCCAGUUUUCCUGAUAUCCGUUUCCUUCGGGAUCCUGUUUCUCUGUAAUUUGACCGUCUCGAAAUCCAUCCGUUCCGUUAUUAAACCGUGUAGCGAUUUCACAGUUCCGUAACCCAUUUAUCUUAGGGUCUAACCAUUCCUUGAUCCACGCGUUCCG